rnacentral:rRNA from 1 species
GACGGAGGAUGCAAGUGUUAUCCGGAAUCAUUGGGUUUAAAGGGUCCGUAGGCGGGUCUAUAAGUCAGUGGUGAAAGUUUGCGGCUUAACCGUAAAAUUGCCAUUGAUACUGUAGGUCUUGAAUUAUUGUGAAGUGGUUAGAAUGUGUAGUGUAGCGGUGAAAUGCAUAGAUAUUACACAGAAUACCGAUUGCGAAGGCAGAUCACUAACAAUAUAUUGACGCUAAGGGACGAAAGCGUGGGUAGCGAACAGG